rnacentral:rRNA from 1 species
GACGAACGCUGGCGGCGUGCUUAACACAUGCAAGUCGAACGGAAAGGCUCCAGCUUGCUGGAGUACUCGAGUGGCGAACGGGUGAGUAACACGUGGGUAAUCUGCCCUGCACUCUGGGAUAAGCCUGGGAAACUGGGUCUAAUACUGGAUAUGACCUUUCUCCUUAUGGGGUUUGGUGGAAAGUUUUUCGGUGUAGGAUGAGCCCGCGGCCUUUCAGCUUGUUGGUGGGGUGAUGGCCUACCAAGGCGACGACGGGUAGCCGGCCUGAGAGGGUGAUCGGCCACAUUGGGACUGAGAUACGGCCCAGACUCCUACGGGAGGCAGCAGUGGGGAAUAUUGCACAAUGGGCGGAAGCCUGAUGCAGCGACGCCGCGUGAGGGAUGACGGCCUUCGGGUUGUAAACCUCUUUCAGCAGGGACGAAGCGUAAGUGACGGUACCUGCAGAAGAAGCACCGGCUAACUAUGUG